rnacentral:rRNA from 1 species
AUUGAACGCUGGCGGCAGGCCUAACACAUGCAAGUCGAACGAGCGGCGGACGGGUGAGUAAUGUAUGGGGACUGCCCGAUAGAGGGGGAUAACUACUGGGAACGGUAGCUAAUACCGCAUACUAUCGGAUAACCCAUAUGGGGUUAGCUAGUAGGUGAGGUAAUGGCUCACCUAGGCGACGAGCCCUAGCUGGUCUGAGAGGAUGAUCAGCCACACUGGUACUGAGACACGGUCCAGACUCCUACGGAGGCAGCAGUGGGGAAUAGUGCACAAUGGGCGCAAGCCUGAUGCAGCCAUGCCGCGUGUAUGAAGAAGGCCUUCGGGUUGUAAAGUACUUUCAGUCGGGAGGCGUUACCGACAGAAGAAGCACCGGCUAACUCCGUGCCAGCAGCCGCGGUAAUAC